rnacentral:rRNA from 1 species
GAUAGGCAGGGUGUGUAAGCGUUGUGAGGCGUUGAGCUAACCUGUACUAAUUGCCCGUGAGGCUUAACCAUACAACACCCAAAGGGUUUUG